GAGUGGCUCAGUGGUGGAGCAUUACCUUGCCAAGGUAGGGGCCGCGGGUUCGAAUCCCGUCUCG
rnacentral:tRNA from 1 species